AAAAAAAUAAAUAAAACAAGUUUGCACUGAGUAGCCCAGGCUGGCCAUGAACUCCAGACCCUUCUGUCCCAGUCUCCGCAGUAACUAGGAUUGUGUACCCAAGAUGCCUGGCACUGGGUUACACAUUUUUUACCCCAAAAUAUCUCCUUUUUCCCUUUCCAAAAAGUGAAACCAAUAACAAGGCCAAGUCCCAAAUGAACAUUGUAGGAAACUUUUACUUCUGGCCAAGAACAGUAGCAAGCCAGCCGUGGUUGGUGGUUCUCACCCGUGAUCCCACCUGCUAAGGAAAGGGAGUCAGAAGAUGACACGUUUGAGGCCAGCCUGUGAAACGUAGCUAGUCCCUACUGCAAACUAAAAUACGAGGGGGUGGUGAUGUAAAGGGGUGGUGAUGGAGCUCAGUGGUAGAGUGCUUGCUUAGCAUGCGUAGGCUGUGGGUUCAAUCCCCACUGCGGGUGGAGUGGGGAGAUCACAAACCAACUUCUCUGAGGAUGGGCGAGGUGGGGCGGGCAUAAGAAAACUCAAAAGCGAGGGGAUGGGGGUGUCCAGAAUAGCAUGCUUUGCUAGUUACAGUUACAAAGAAACAGCGACUUCAAUAUAUAAUCCAUUUGUAAUACUUGGUUAGGUCUCAGACUAAAGCAGUUCAACAGAGCACAGCGACACUUUAAGGGCAGGCACCGUGCACAUUCCUAGGUCUAUCUGGCUGCCCAGUCAUCUGUUUCCAGAAUGAGGCCCAUAUCUUCCUCCUCGCUCAAGUGGAAUUGACAGGGAGCAGGUGAUCCUCCUGCCUUUGAAAACACAGGAAGUAAAACAGGCCCAAAUCACAGCCAAAAGGCAGCCGCCUGCUGACGUAAAGCUAAGGAGGUGGCUUUUCUGAGCAGCUGGGUGUAGAGCCGGGCCUGGGGAGAAAAGGUAGGGUAGGCAAGCAACAGACACACCCGAGUGAGGGAGCUAGAGGUGUCAGAGAACGGGCCUGCACCUAUUUCAAGACUAUGGUGGUUAGAAAUAAGAGCCACAUGCCGGGAGUGGUGCUUCUUGAUAGCUUGUCAGCUGCACUGACAAAAGCUUUUUCAGUGUGGUUUCCAUUCAUGAUUUUUUUCCUUUCUUCCCUUCCCUUUCUUCUCUCCUUUUUCUUUCUUUCUUCCUUUCUUUCUUUCUUUCUUUCUUUCUUUCUUUCUUUCUUUCUUUCUUUCUUUCUCCAUCCCCCCUCUCUGACCACCCCCUCCCAGCAAAUACUGGAGGUUGCACCUGAGCUACACCCCAGUCCUUUUUAUUUUUACUUUUUAAAAUUUUUGAGACAGGCCUUCACUAAACUGCCGCAGCAGCCUUCAGCUUACAGUCCAGGGGCUCAGUCUCCCACCCUUCUGGGAUUAAGGGUUCAGACCACCUUUGCAGGCUCCCGUUCCUCUCAGAACAAUGCGAGCCCAGUGACAGCUAGGGCAGGAAGAGCAGUCACACGAGUCCUUGCUCUGAUCUGGGCCCCAGCCUGCCCCGUCUGCCAACUCCUCUGCCGGUUACGAGCUCAAGGGAGCUCACGGAGAAGGGCACAACAAGGCCUUCGCUUUGAGAGCUCCAGUGAAGCUCCAGUAUGGCUCUCAGAAAAGUGGCCAGCGGGGCAGAAGGAGGCCACGGGACACUGUGGAGUGCUCUGUGCUGUCCAUCCCUGCUGGAGACCCCUGCCCGAGGAUGGGGUAGGGUUGUAUUAUAUUGUGGCCAGAGGGAUUUUUGUCUUUGUAGGCAUCUUCGUGCAUAAAGAAAAACUACAAGUUAUAUUUUGUAACUACACUGGCUCAAAGAAGAGUACAUUAACAUAUUUUUAAAUGUUUCUUUCACUUUAAUGACUAGGCAAGACCCUGUCUCAAAAUGAAAAAUAAAGCUGGGUAUGGGGGUGCAUACCUAUAAUCGAAGCACUUGGGAGGCUGAGGCAGGAGGAUUGCUGUGAGUUCGGGGCCGGGAGCAGAAUGUUAUGGUUUGGAUCUAGAAUGUCACCCAAACUCUCACAUGUUCAGGGUGCUGGUCUGGGGAGGUGGCUGGCUCCGGGGGAAGCUAACCCAUUGCUGGUGAGUUCACAGCUAAAUGUGCAGCGAGGGGGCGGGCUGAGCUGGAAGACGUGGAGGGUGGAUCUCUCUCGCAGCUCCUCUUUCUGCUUUCCAGCUGCCAUGAUGUGAGUAGCUUUCUUCCGCCAUGCCCUUCCGCCAUGGAGCCAUCCCCUGCGGGUCAGGACCCCAAACAGUGAGUCAAAUUAAACCUCCCCUUUCCACAAAGAAAGGGGUGUGUGUGUGUGGCUCGGUGGGAAGGCCUUGGGUUCAAUCCCCAGGACCACAAAAACUAGAAACAAAACCACUUGGGUCCGCCUCAUGUUGGCUCUGUCUCCUUUGUUCUGAGUCAUUCUCUUUGGGAGCAGCCUUCUAUUACAGAGAACAGUUGCGUCCAUAAAUUUCUUUCGUCAACAUCCCACCCUUAUUUUUAAAUUUUGUUUUCAUUUUGAGACACGGUCUCACAAAGCUACCGACUUGCUCAGGUUGGGCUCAGACUUCUAAUCCUCCUCCCUCAGCCUCCCAGAGUCCUGGGAUUACAGGCAUGUGUCAUCAUGCCUGGCUCUAAAUAUCUCAGGGUCGACAAAACAGCCCCCAGGCAGGAGCAACUUUCUACCCUGCUGGGAGCACGUCCCCUGCUGACUAAGCCUGAGAUUAUGAUUGUGAUAGUUGGCUUGGCAUUGCUGUGACACAAUACCUGAGAUAAACAAUUUAAAAGACUUAUCAGGGGGAGGGGUUGAGACAGGGUCUUUUUUGUUUUGUUUUGUUUUGUUUUGUUUUGUUUUGUUUCCGGUACCGGGAAUCGAACUCACGACCUUGCGCUUGCCAGGCAGGCGCUGAGCUAAAUCCAGCCCUUGAGACAGGGUCUUGCUGUGUAGUUCAGGCUGAUUUUUAACUCCCUGUGUGCCCAGGCUGGCCUGGAACUCAAGGCACUCCUCCUGCCUCAGCCUCCCUGUGCUGGGAUUACAGGUGUGUGAAAAGACUUGUUUUGACCAAUGGUCUCAGAGGUUUUGGUCUAAGGACCAGUGGCUUUGUUGUUUGGGGCUCAGGUAAGGUGGAUUAUCAUGGAGAAGAAGCGCGAGGCAGAAGAGACGGCUCACAUCCUAGCAGCCAGGAAGCAGGAGAAAGAGCCCCAGAGGAAUUAGUUGGGGACAAGCUACAGGCCCCCAGGGGCACAGCCCCGUGAGGCAUCCUCUCAGCUAUCUCCUACCUCCUGGCCCUCCAGUGCGUCAACGAAAUCAGAGCUCCCCUGAGCCAGUCACCUUCCCAAAACCCACCUCUGAACAGCAUAGCUACCUGGGGACCUAACUUCCGGUGCUCAAGCCUUGGGAGGACAUCCCAAAUCAAGCCACAAUAAUGAUCAAAGGGACACCGAUCUAAGGACAAGCGGCUUCAGUGUCUGACAUGAAACCACUUCCCCCAAAUAAGCCUUUCCUCAAACCAUGUGACCACUAGCGCUUGAGCGCACGCCCACCUCUGGCGCCCUUGCCUGUACGACAUGGGAGCUUGCGUCAGGACGACAGGGCUCAGGACGCUGGUCCUCUCGUCUUCUCACGGUAGCUGUGAUGGUUCAAGUUCCUUUCUCCCCUUUCACUGUUAGUUUUUGUUCGAUUUCGUCAGGGUGAGGGGUCAGACCUGAUUUGUGGGGACCCCAGAACUGGACCUCUGGCCUAGGACUUCAGUAACACUGUCAGACGCUAAAUCUGCUGGUGCCUUUUUAAAAUUUCUUUCGCUGAUGUCUGAUCUUAGAUUUGCAGCUCCCAC
ensembl:lincRNA